rnacentral:rRNA from 1 species
ACUACGGGUGGCAGCAGUGAGGAAUAUUGGUCAAUGGUCGCAAGACUGAACCAGCCAAGCCGCGUGAAGGAGGACGGUUCUGUGUGUCGUAAACCUCUUUUGUCAGAGGACAAAUCCCGGGACGUGUCCCCGGCUGAGUGUAUCGUAAGAAAAAGCAUCGGCUAACUCCGUGCCAGCAGCCGCGGUAAUACGGAGGAUGCGAGCGUUAUCCGGAUUUAUUGGGGUUAAAGGGUGCGGAGGCGGUUCGAUAAGUUAGCGGUGAAAUCCCGGGGCUCAAACCCGGCACGGCCUUUGAUACUGGCAGGCUAGAGUUUGGGUGCGGUAGGCGGAAUGCGCGGUGUAGCGGUGAAAUGCAUAGAGAUCGUGCAGAACACCGAUUGCGAAGGCAGCGUACCGGACCACGACUGACGUUGAGGCACGAAAGCGUGGGUAGCGAACAGGAUUAGAUACCCUUGUAGUC